rnacentral:rRNA from 1 species
GACGAACGCUGGCGGCGUGCUUAACACAUGCAAGUCGAACGAAAAGAGGGAAAGAGCUUGCUCUUUCCGGAAUUGAGUGGCAAACGGGUGAGUAACACGUAAACAACCUGCCUUCAGGAUGGGGACAACAGACGGAAACGGCUGCUAAUACCGAAUAAGUUCCAAGGGCCGCAUGGCCCAUGGAAGAAAAGGUGGCCUCUACCUGUAAGCUAUCGCCUGAAGAGGGGUUUGCGUCUGAUUAGCUGGUUGGAGGGGUAACGGCCCACCAAGGCGACGAUCAGUAGCCGGUCUGAGAGGAUGAACGGCCACACUGGAAUUGAGACACGGUCCAGACUCCUACGGGAGGCAGCAGUGGGGAAUCUUCCGCAAUGGGCGAAAGCCUGACGGAGCAACGCCGCGUGAGUGAUGACGGCCUUCGGGUUGUAAAACUCUGUGAUCCGGGACGAAAAGGCAGAGUGCGAAGAACAAACUGCAUUGACGGUACCGGAAAAGCAAGCCACGGCUAACUACGUG